CUUCUUCUUCUUUCUCUCUCAACCUUCACGCUUUUUCUUUCUCAACUUUCACCAUCUUUUCCUUUCUCUCUCAAUCUUCACCAUUUUCUCAUUUCUCUCUCAACCACGUCGUCCAUCCACUCCUUUCUCUCUCAACCAUGUCGUUGCCACUCAACGUUCGUCAAAUCUGAUUGUUGACCAUUGUCCAACCCAUCCGGUUCAUCUAGAUUUGAUCAAUGGUAAUCGUCGUCGUCUAGAUCCAAGUUCGUUCCAUCCAUCCAGAUCUGAGUUCGUUCCAUCAAGAUGUACCUAUUUUUAUGCUUGGGCCUUUGAAGAAAGGUCAUCCUUGGAAAGUUGAAGAAGAGUCUGAAAAAUCCCAAAGAAAAACUGUUUUCUUUGAGAUUUAAUGAUUUUAAGCUUGAUGAACGAGUAAUCCUAUUGAAACAUCCGACUUUAGGAGUUCUGGAGUUCAUCUUAAAGAUAUGGGGCAUACAACUACUAUUUUGGGCUGAUAUGACGCUUAGGAUGAUCAAUUCAUUGAGAUUAUGUCGAUUGAACAAAUGGGCAUAGUUACAUUGGAAAAUAACUCAAAAUAGCAGCAUUAAUAUGAAAAACAGCAUAGGAUUGUCGGUUAAGAAUCGAAGCAUAAGCAUUCUCCAAGGACUGGAAUUUGUGACGUAGGGUCUAACCCUUUUUGCACAAUCUUUUUAUUUUGGUUAAGCUUGUAAAAUGCCUUGUUAAGAAUAUACUUAUUGAUAUUUUCUUCAAUCAAUUGGGAGAGCUUUGCAAUUUGCAUAUUGUGCUUCCUUGAGAAGGUAUUCUUUUUUAGUAAAGUACAUGUAUACGUUUAAAUUAAGUUAUAUAUUUUUUUAGUAAAAUACCUAGUAAAGGAUAUGUUUGUUUGAUUCUCCAAACCCUUCUUUUUUAAUAAAAUGCCUAGUAAAAGAUAGUUAUUGAUAUGUUUGUAUAACUAUCCUUUUGAGAUUUCCUGUUUUAUGUUCUGUAGGUGGUUGGGGUAAUUCAUUUGUUUCUCUUGGAAUUAUUCUCAUGACUGAAAGCUUUUGAAACGGGAUUUUAUGGCUGUUACAGUUAGGUUUCCUAGUAAAUUGUUUGGGAUGUUUUGUAUUUUUUUCUAUCUGAUUGUUUUGUAUGUUUUGUAAUCCUAUAAGAUAUAUUUUUUUAAUGUAUUUUCUAUUAGUUAUAUUAUUUAUGUCAAAUUUGAUUAGGUAGUUGGUUUGAGUAUUAGUGUUCUGAAAACUCUAGUAGUUAUGUUGAGAGAAGAUUGUUGUUUGAAUAUUGUUGGAAGUUCAUUUCUUUAAACAAGUGUUAAAGUAAAAUCUUUUGUAUUGUUGUGGUAGUGCUGUCAUGUUGCCGAAAUUUUUCUAAAAUAUAAGAGUUAUAAAGUUAGUUGUAGGUUAAUAUAUGAUAAUAUUCCUUAGUUUAGCAUUGAAAUUUGGGAUCAUUACAAUGACUAUUGUGUAGCUAUGGUAGUAGUUUAUGGGUUGAGUUCAUUUCUUUCGUUAUUUAUAAAUUACUUAUAUUAACGCAACUUAUAUUUGUUUGUUUAUACACUCUGUGUUUGACAUUGCUCACAUGAGUACAUGGAGGUUCUGGAUAGAGGGCAUAACAAACUCAUCCAUAGAAUAGAGAAAAGAAUAGCAAGUUUUGCAUUCAUUCCUUUUGGUAAGUUUGUAUAAAUAUAGUUUCCAUACUUCAUGUAAUUUCUUUUAGUAUGAUUCAUUUAUUUUUAAAUUAUUCUUGAUUUUAUAUACUUAAACAAGCAUAUCUUCUUUGCAAUUUUUUUGGGAUAAUAAUGACACUCCAAAGUA